rnacentral:rRNA from 1 species
UACGUAGGGGGCAAGCGUUGUCCGGAUUUAUUGGGCGUAAAGAGCUCGUAGGCGGCUCGGUAAGUCGGAUGUGAAACCUCCAGGCUCAACCUGGAGACGCCAUCUGAUACUGCCGUGGCUUAAGUCCGGUAGAGGAGCAGGGAAUUCCUGGUGUAGCGGUGAAAUGCGCAGAUAUCAGGAGGAACACCAGCGGCGAAGGCGCUGCUCUGGGCCGGUACUGACGCUGAGGAGCGAAGCGUGGGGAGCGAACAGG